UCUCAGGGCCAUGAGAGAGUCAGUAUAGACUGAAUUCACAACCACGGGUGAGCUAGCCUUCAUGUGGGUGUGAAGGGAAGAAGGGAAGAAGGGAAGUAAGCUAGCUCAGCACACCACUCCAGCAUCUGAGAUACAGAACAGACCUGAUGCAGAGAUUAUGAUCAUGGGCAUGGGCUUUAUUCCACUUGGACCAGCAGACUGCAAGUGGGCAGUUGGUCCACAUUCUAAGACUCAGGACAGAGAUGUGAAAAACGGAGUAGAAGCUGAUGAGUCACAGGUGCAAACAACUGAAAAGGUGUUUCAAUAGUUAAUGAAACAUGUGGGUCUUUGUUUUUCCAAGGACUAUACUUGGAAAAGCAAAGACCGACACUAUAACUGGAACAAUUAGACUACGGCCUUUAUACUGAAUAUACUGUUGCUUCUGCAGGACUCCAUAUUCCUAUGUAGCUGACAAUGUAUUUGCAUUUGCAUGGCACAAUUCCUUGUAAUGCCUACAUUAUUUCAUCAGAUAUGCCAAAUAGUGCUGUUCUUAUGCGUACUGGGGCAGUGCAACACAAUAAAGAUAGGCCUAUUCCA